AAGUGAUCCAUGGGGAGCCUAAUGGCUGAGAGGUUCUUCUCUAAUGAUUGAGGAGAACGACCCUAUGAACCUGAUCCGGAUAAUGCCGGCGGAGGGAAAGGAUAUGCACUGUUCU
rnacentral:ncRNA from 3 species